rfam:Oryza meridionalis cultivar OR44 (W2112) chromosome 1, whole genome shotgun sequence.
AAUAAGUGUAGUUUUGUACUGUUCAUGUCCAACGUUUGACCAUUCAUCUUAUUUGAAAGUUUUGUUUGAUUAGUAGUUUUAUUGUAUUAGAUGAUAAAAGAUGAAUAGUACUAACUUUUUUUUUAUUUUUUUCAUAAAUUUUUCAAAUAAGACAGACGGUCAAACGUUGGACACGGAUUCUCACGGUUGCACUUAUU